UUUGUUGUAGUCUAAUUGGUUAGGAUAUUUGGCUCUCAUUCAAAAAGCCUGGGUUCAAAUCCCAGCAAGCAUG
rnacentral:tRNA from 1 species